rnacentral:lncRNA from 1 species
AUGAGAAGCUGGGAUUGCAGGGGAAGGGUUUUGGGGAUUAAUUCAGAACAGAUUUGCACUGCACGAGAGAAGCAGUCUGUUAACUGGGCUAUAGGGAAGGUGUUUUCCAUCUCUAUGGUCAGUUUGACAAGGACAGGUUUCUCUAGGAGGACAAGAUCUCCCUUGCAUUGGAAUUUGGUUUUCUGUAGGAGAAGGAACAUGAGAAGCUGGGAUUGCAGGGGAAGGGUUUUGGGGAUUAAAUUCAGACAAGAUUUGCACUGCACGAGAGAAGCAAUCUGUUAACUGGGCUAUAGGGAAGGUGUUGUCCAUCUCUAUUUCAGGGAAGGAAAUUUCCUCAUUCAAAGGUUCAGAAACAGGUCUGUUUCUGGUAGAGUGGGUGUUUGCCCAUUGAUCCUGUAAGAAACAUUUUAGAUCUUCUAAUUGGGCUUGCAUUUUUUCCUCAAUUUUUCCUAUUUUAUCUUCCAUAUCUCCCAUUUUAUCCUCAAUAUUUCCUAUUUUAUCCUCAAGUUUUUCUAUUUUAUUCUCAAUAUUUCCUAUUUUAUCCUCAAUUUUUUCUAUUGUAUCCUCAAUUUUUUCUAUUUUAUCCUCAAUUUUUUCUAUUUUAUCCUCAACAUUUUCUAUUUUAUCCUCAAUAUUUUCUAUUUUAUCCUCAUUUUUUUCUAUUUUAUCCUCAACAUUUUCUAUUUUAUCCUCAAUAUUUUCUAUUUUAUCCUCAUUUUGUUUUAUUUUAUCCUCAAUAUUUUUUAUUUUUUCAUCUCUAAAUAUAGUAUUGAGGAGUACAAAAAUGACAGUACCUAUUAAUAUAACAAUUUGGAGGUAUCCUUCAUUCCUCAAUGCCCCUACUUCUUCAGCUGCCAUAUAAUUGUCAAAGAAUGUAGUACUCAUUUUUAUAUGUAUAUUUUGUAAUUUCACAAAACACGUGGGGAGCAGGGCAAAGCAACAAACUUUCCACAGGGUUUUUUUUUAAUCCAGGAAGUUGUUCCUUAAGGGAAAGGAUAUUUAGAAACAGUUCUUCCAGCCAGGACUUUAGAGUCCUGUUGCUGAGAUUUAAAACAGCUGUUUUCUGUCUAUCAGAGUCACACAGCUGGGAAGUAUCUGAGGUCCGAUUUGAACCCAGGACCUUCUGUCUCUAGGCCUGGCUCUCAAUCCGCUGAGCUACCCAGCUGUCCCUUAAGAUUAAAGGGAAGAAAAGAAAAAAACUGCUGAUUCCAAUUUAACUUAAGGAGAAAAGAGAAAAAGUUUUUUAUACUCACGUGUUCUAGCAGCUGUGUCUUUAAGCCAA